UACGGAGGGAGCUAGCGUUGUUCGGAUAUACUGGGCGUAAAGCGCACGUAGGCGGCGCAGCAAGUCAGGGGUGAAAUCCCGGGGCUCAACCCCGGAACUGCCUCUGAAACUGCAGUGCUAGAAUCUUGGAGAGGCGAGUGGAAUUCCGAGUGUAGAGGUGAAAUUCGUAGAUAUUCGGAAGAACACCAGUGGCGAAGGCGACUCGCUGGACAAGUAUUGACGCUGAGGUGCGAAAGCGUGGGGGAGCAAACAGGG
rnacentral:rRNA from 1 species